rfam:Triticum aestivum genome assembly, contig: Triticum_aestivum_CS42_TGACv1_scaffold_407532_5BL
CAGAUACUCCCUUCGUUCGGAAUUACUUGUCUCGAAAAUGGAUGUAUCUAGAACUAAAAUACAUCUAGAUACAUCCAUUUCUGCGACAAAUAAUUCUAAACGGAGGGAGUACGUA